rnacentral:rRNA from 1 species
CCUUCGGGCAGAAGCUGGCUUAGCUUAGUGGCGGACGGGUGAGUAACACGUGAGCAACCUGCCUUUGCGAGGGGGAUAACGUUUGGAAACGAACGCUAAUACCGCAUAAUGUCAGAAGGUCGCAUGAUUUUCUGACCAAAGAUUUAUCGCGCAAAGAUGGGCUCGCGUCCGAUUAGAUAGUUGGUGAGGUAACGGCCCACCAAGUCUGCGAUCGGUAGCCGGACUGAGAGGUUGAACGGCCACAUUGGGACUGAGACACGGCCCAGACUCC